rnacentral:rRNA from 1 species
AACGAACGCUGGCGGCAUGCCUAACACAUGCAAGUCGAACGAGACCUUCGGGUCUAGUGGCGCACGGGUGCGUAACACGUGGGAAUCUGCCCUUGGGUUCGGAAUAACAGUUGGAACGACUGCUAAUACCGGAUGAUGACGUAAGUCCAAAGAUUUAUCGCCCAACGGAUGAGCCCGCGUCGGAUUAGCUAGUUGGUGGGGUAA